rnacentral:rRNA from 1 species
GAUGAACGCUGGCGGCGUGCCUAAUACAUGCAAGUCGAGCGAACAGACGAGUAGCUUGCUCCUCUGACGUUAGCGGCGGACGGGUGAGUAACACGUGGAUAACCUACCUAUAAGACUGGGAUAACUUCGGGAAACCGGAGCUAAUACCGGAUAAUAUAUUGAACCGCAUGGUUCAAUAGUGAAAGACGGUUUUGCUGUCACUUAUAGAUGGAUCCGCGCCGCAUUAGCUAGUUGGUAAGGUAACGGCUUACCAAGGCAACGAUGCGUAGCCGACCUGAGAGGGUGAUCGGCCACACUGGAACUGAGACACGGUCCAGACUCCUACGGGAGGCAGCAGUAGGGAAUCUUCCGCAAAGGGCGAAAGCCUGACGGAGCAACGCCGCGUGAGUGAUGAAGGUCUUCGGAUCGUAAAACUCUGUUAUUAGGGAAGAACAAAUGUGUAAGUAACUAUGCACGUCUUGACGGUACCUAAUCAGAAAGCCACGGCUAACUACGUG